rnacentral:lncRNA from 1 species
CCCACUUUGUUCAUAUGAAUGGAUUUUACAGUCACGUUAAAGAGCUGCAAUCAUAGUUCCGGAAAAAGUACUAUAAUGUCUUUUUGCGUCAUUGUUGAUAGUUCCAAUCCCUGCAUCAAUAAAGUGUCGAACCCAGAUCCUAUCAUUUUCAUUCAUCUGUACUACAAUUGUCUGACUCCCAAAAUCGUAGUCAUCUCCAUAUAUUGCUGCUAACUGCACGCCAUUUUUCACCAACUCGACAUGAACUACUGAUUGUCUUUCACUACAAAU